CACAGGACAUGAGAAAACAUUUCCACAGAAAAACUACUGUUUUCCAGUCGUGGCAAGUGACUCUGUGAGCGUUAAGAUGUUUUCCCUUCUCAGGAGACCAAUACUGACCUGGCCCAGGCGGAUGAAAGCCAUUCUGCAAAAUCAGAGGUCAAUCUACAGCAAACCGCCGAAGGACAAGAUCGGGCCAGGGCAAUCUUUACUUGCUCUCUGUGCGUUUGCUAUGACUCUCUUGGCCCCCGCUGGAUGGAUCAUGCAUCAUAUCCCAGAAUACAAGCAAAGAUCAUCUCAACAACCCUGACUUCUGCAAGAGCUCUGCAUUCAGGAAGACACCUGUGCACUAUUAUUGUUUGUGGAUUUUCCAAUGUGUAAAAUGCUAUUAAGGAAUGUAAAACGUUAUAAUGAGACAGUUUCCCUGUAUAAAGACUUUGAUGUGA